ACCAGUGAACGCACAAUUGAAACCGCUCGCAGAGGUGUUCCCGUCCUGGGACGUUCCAUUCUCCCCCUCUCCCUCCCUCCCCAGCCCAUUGAGGCUCCGCUUGCUUUACAGCUGAGAUAAGAGGAUGGGUGAUUCCGACUGGACGCUGCGGUCCUUCACUCGUGAGGGUUGGGAGGUGGGGAAACCAGUGAUCCUACCCCUCUGCCUCCACACCCGAUUUUGGCGACGGAGCAGGAUUUGAGCUUUGAUGGUAAGGGGAGCUUUAACAGCCAUCCCUUCGAAGUGAAUCGGUUUUAGGCCAUUUCAAAGACAGUAAAAUCGGUGGGUCAAGUCCACACCAGUCCAGAGAGGAGAAGUGCAGCUGUUCAGGAGCCAGCAUUUAUUCCACUAACAUAAACAACAAACGUUGAUGAAAGACUGCAGAUGCCAGAAGUAUGGACCAAUAUACACAAAUUGCUGGGGAACUCAGCAGGGCAGGCAGCAUCCAUGGAGGGGAAUGAACAGUGACGGCCCAAAGUGCCUGACCUGCUGAGCAAUUCUCUAUGCCAUCACUCCAUUGCAUCAGUAGGGGUGUGCUGCGUUGUAAGAAGUGCCUUAUUUUAGAAUGGACAGUAAGCAGUAUGCCUCUAAGGUGGACAGAAUACGUCCCACAGACCUAUUUUGAAGACAAGCAUGGGAGGUUUCUGCAGCAUGGUUACCCCUUAGCCAACAUCUCGGAAACAGAUUUUCUGAUCAUGAUCAUGCUGUUUAUGUGAACUUGCUGUGCACAUAUUGGUUACUGCAUUUCUUAAUUAUAAUGAUUACACUUUAUUGGAUGGCAAGUGUUUUGGGAGGUCCAGAGGUUGUAAAAGUGGCUAUGAAAUGCAAUUCUUUCUUUACGUCCAUUUCAUUGUUAGUCUUUGGGCUAUUAACUGCAAACAUAACCAACUCCAUGCACAUCAAAUGACCUGCUUUACAAGAGACAAACUAAAUACUUUGGGGGAUGCCUAUUUAAUCCUCUUUUUAUUAAAGAGGGCAAUUCCUCCUUCCUGUGAACCUUGUAGCAAUUCUACUAGAGACAAUUGUGCUUAAACUCCAUCACCACCCACGGCUGAUUGUUUCUGAAAGAUGAUUGAAAACAUGCAAGACUUAUUAAUACGUUUCCUAGAGAAUAGAUAACCCUUUAUACAGUAUUUAGUGUCUGUCUGUAUCUUUCCACCAUCUUCAAUGAA